rnacentral:rRNA from 1 species
CGUGGAUUACGUCCCUGCCCUUUGUACACACCGCCCGUCGCUACUACCGAUUGAAUGGCUUAGUGAGGUCUUCGAAUUGGCUUUGGGGAGGCGGCGACGGCACUCUAGUGCUGAGAAGUUGAUCAAACUUGGUCAUUUAGAGGAAGUAAAAGUCGUAACAAGG